CCUACGGGUGGCAGCAGUGAGGAAUAUUGGUCAAUGGACGAGAGUCUGAACCAGCCAAGUAGCGUGAAGGAUGACUGCCCUAUGGGUUGUAAACUUCUUUUAUAUGGGAAUAAAAUGUUCCACGUGUGGGAUUUUGUAUGUAGCAUAUGAAUAAGGAUCGGCUAACUCCGUGCCAGCAGCCGCGGUAAUACGGAGGAUCCGAGCGUUAUCCGGAUUUAUUGGGUUUAAAGGGAGCGUAGGUGGAUUGUUAAGUCAGUUGUGAAAGUUUGCGGCUCAACCGUAAAAUUGCAGUUGAAACUGGCAGUCUUGAGUACAGUAGAGGUGGGUGGAAUUCGUGGUGUAGCGGUGAAAUGCUUAGAUAUCACGAAGAACUCCGAUUGCGAAGGCAGUUCACUGGACUGCAACUGACACUGAGGCUCGAAAGUGUGGGUAUCAAACAGGAUUAGAUACCCCAGUAGUC
rnacentral:rRNA from 1 species